rnacentral:rRNA from 1 species
UACGUAGGGUGCAAGCGUUAAUCGGAAUUACUGGGCGUAAAGCGUGCGCAGGCGGUUAUGCAAGGCAGAUGUGAAAUCCCCGGGCUUAACCUGGGAACUGCAUUUGUGACUGCAUAGCUGGAGUACGGCAGAGGGGGAUGGAAUUCCGCGUGUAGCAGUGAAAUGCGUAGAUAUGCGGAGGAACACCGAUGGCGAAGGCAGUCCCCUGGGCCUGUACUGACGCUCAUGCACGAAAGCGUGGGGAGCAAACAGG